AUUGAACGCUGGCGGCAUGCCUUACACAUGCAAGUCGAACGGUAACAGGUCUUCGGAUGCUGACGAGUGGCGAACGGGGGAGUAAUACAUCGGAACGUGCCCGAUCGUGGGGGAUAACGCAGCGAAAGCUGUGCUAAUACCGCACACGAUCUACGGAUGAAAGCAGGGGACCGCAAGGCCUUGCGCGAACGCAGCGGCCGAUGGCAGAUUAGGUAGUUGGUGGGAUAAAAGCUUACCAAGCCGACGAUCUGUAGCUGGUCUGAGAGGACGAGCAGCCACACUGGGACUGAGACACGGCCCAGACUCCUACGGGAGGCAGCAGUGGGGAAUUUUGGACAAUGGGCGAAAGCCUGAUCCAGCCAUGCCGCGUGCAGGAUGAAGGCCUUCGGGUUGUAAACUGCUUUUGUACGGAACGAAAAGACUCUGGUUAAUACCUGGGGUCCAUGACGGUACCGUAAGAAUAAGCACCGGCUAACUACGUG
rnacentral:rRNA from 1 species